UACGUAGGGGGCAAGCGUUGUCCGGAAUUAUUGGGCGUAAAGAGCGCGUAGGCGGUGUGUCACGUCGGCCGUGAAAACCUGCAGCUUAACUGUGGGCGUGCGGUCGAUACGGGCAUCACUGGAGUUCGGCAGGGGAGACUGGAAUUCCUGGUGUAGCGGUGAAAUGCGCAGAUAUCAGGAGGAACACCGGUGGCGAAGGCGGGUCUCUGGGCCGAUACUGACGCUGAGGAGCGAAAGCGUGGGGAGCGAACAGG
rnacentral:rRNA from 1 species